GUGCUUGGGAGGUUACUGACAACACAAAUGUAUACAAUCCAGUUGUAAACUUGUAACAAAGAUUUAUUGACAAGAGCACUGACCUGUGGUAAAAUCUCAUACGCUGGAUGUUUGGCGCCUUCGAACAUCAAAGUGGACGUCGAUUAAACCCGUUAUCCCUGCUGUUAUCUUUUGGCCUGCCCUGACAGAGCCCACGCCUGGAGGAGUACCUGUGAG
rnacentral:misc_RNA from 1 species